rnacentral:lncRNA from 1 species
CAUCUGGUUCCAUUUUAUUAAAAAACAAAACCAAAAGAAAUUUUGCAGUGAAAUUUCCUGGAAUUCACAACCCUCAUUUAAAAAUCCUUAUAGUUGCAAUAUUUUUUUUUUAGCCAGUACGUAAGAACACGAUUGCACUUAUUUACAUGAUAGUCUUCUAUAUAACAAAAAUAACCAUGUUGUAAUGACUGUUUCCAACUAUCACCCUUGUUUCAUCACUAGCCCAUUAUGAGACAAGUUGAUUACGCUCUCCAAGUACAAAGAGAAUAGAAUAAAGCAAAAUAAAAGUCUGUGUCUCCUAAUAGAAGACAAAUUCCUUUAAAGACAGUUACUUUUUUUUUUUUUUCAAUUUCUUUGUAUUUCAAGAGGGAUAUAAAGUGCUCUGAAAGGAGUAGGGUAGGUGCCUGAGGUGGGGAAGAAGGAAAGAAAUUUAUACAGAAAAAAUUUAAAAAACUACACUGCCUUAACUAAUCAUCUCAAUAUGCACACAACUUUGUACAGAAGAUUAGUUUUGGGUAAAAACGCUACAUAAUUCACUAGUACUUAUUUCGGCAAUUAAGAACUGAAGUCCAAAUGAAAGACUCCCCAUGCAAAUGUCAUCAGGAGUGACUUUUUUGUGAUUUUGGGUCAGAUGCUAUAUAAAUCAAGGAAGCUCAGUCACACAGUCUGAAUAUGGAGAGGAUAGACAAUGCCGAGAUGGAACCAUCAUCUACUACCUGCAGACUAGCCAGAAAGACCUUGUGGGGAAGCUAAGUAGACUUUACCCCAACAUCAAUCAUUUUACAACAAAAGCAUUUUGUUGCAAGCAUUUGUUUACAAUAAAAGUAAUUUGUGUUAGGAUGGAAAAAAAGCCAUUGGAAUUUCCUCUUGCUAGUAGGGAGGAAGAUUGAUUUAUGAUGUCAUGUCUGAUUAUUUAUAAUUGUAAAUUCAUUAUUUGCAGAUUUUUUUCUAGUGGGAAAUAAUAUGCUGUACAAAGUGGUUAAAAUAAGUUAUUUCUUUUUCACAUUUUUGCAACUGGCAAUUGCUGGUUAUUGUCUGCAGUCUACAAAACUGAGUAUCACAUAUGUACUGCUUGAGAGUUUCCCCUGGAAACCAGAAUAAUCAUCCUCCCAGCUCAUGAACAUUUUAAAGAACAAUACCCAUUUUUUUUUCCAGAAAAUGGAUGGAAUGUAACUUUUCACAAAUACAAAAUUAUUUCAUUUUCUAAAUGUAAGGGACACCCCUCUAUAAAAAUAACAGUCCCUCCCCACUCCCACCCCUACAUCUCCUUCUAAUUAUAAAAUGGUAGAACCAUCUCAGAUUACUAAUGUGAAAGCAGGAAGUAAAUAUAUUAUGUACAUGUACAAAACACAUCAGUAUUUCACACCAUUUACAUUCAUAUGAAGUCUUUUUAUUGAUCUUCCUUUGCAAUUUCACAAGAAUAAAGUUGAGAUAACUUACAAAAACAAGCAGUCCCUUGCUUAUAACUGCACAAACAUUCUAGCCAGAGGCAUCUUCUUUGCAAACAGAGCAACAUUAUCCUUCAACAUUUUGCAGAAGUAAGGGCUGCUGACAGUGAGAAGAUCUGUGGGGUCUCCUUCAGCUUUUUAGAGUUUGUGACACUCUUUCCUCAUUUGAUAAAUGUAGACCAAAUUCUCAACUACCGAAGAAAUUGUAUGAUGAAAGGCAAGUAACUGGUUGUUGAAUUCAUGACCCAAGUCAAAUUAAUCUGCUGCAAGAAUAAUUGCGAUUACUCCAGCAGAGGGCACUCUGCUCCUUGCAAUAACAUCCUACUGAACAGUAAGUACCAUGGAUGCCAACACAAAUUCAGACCGAAAAGUCCAUGUAUGUGUUAGUUCUUCAACUGCUCUACUAUACCCAUUAGUACAGGCAACAGUUUUGUAUCUUCUUCGAAAGAGCAGGAUAUACUAUAUUUAGCUAGCUCUUAUACAUGAAAAUUCUUUGGCUAUUUAAAAUCUUCACAUUCUCAAAGAGAACAAUGUUCUGAGUUCAGUAAAGCGCUAGAUUUGUUGGAAAGUUUUGAAGGAAAAGGGGACUAAACACUAGACUUUAAAGAUGGUGUGGUACUAAGGCCACAAUUCAUUUUUUAGAUUUCGGGAUUUAGUAAGGUCAAUCAACAGUCUGCAACAGAAAACCCCAUAAGGUUUAAUGGUUUCAUUCAACCAUGCAACCCACCUUCGCUUUUAUUUAUGAGAACAUUGGGAGAAAAUUCAACUAGUCAAUGGAAGAAACAUGUGUUCAUUUGGAUGGUGAUCAGUCUUUGGUUUAUAUAGCACACAUGGUCCCCACAUUACCCUGCUUCUCCAAGCCUGUCACUUCACUAAGGAUAACAGACCACAGAUAUUCUGCCAAGCAAUGACUUUGGGUAAUUGAGAUUAAGCGACCUUCUCUAAGGAUUUUUCUCCCUCACUGUGUUCAGACAUUGCAGACCUCUUAAUAGACGUGUAUAUUUUUGUCUUAUCAUCAGCAAAUAUUUAUCAGGUGGCCACAGAGCAAAUGGCUCUGUAUUAAGUGCAAACGUCAGUGGUAGCACAGAAUUAGAAGAUCUUUGAUCACUGAAAUUCCUGAAAAAGCCACGUGAUUAUGAAGCACUCAAGGCAGGUGAAGAGAGAUGUGACUGACCUUAGCAGGUUCUUGUAGAACAAGCAGGAUUGCAAUCAAAUUGCUCGAUAUUAAGGGGCCACGUCUAGCAUCUGGACUUGCUUCAUUAGUUCUGGGAUGAUAACUUGGUGUCAAUAAAAGGUGUAGAGUGGAAGAGUGUGGCUAUUGAUCUGUGGGUCUUUAAAAAUUAAUGUUCCUAUUACACAGGGUCUGGGGUUGAGUGAGGACAAAAGGAGGGAAAAGGAAGAGCUAAGGGAUGAUGAGAAACUCAUAUUAGCUUCUUAGAAUUAAUUUAUUUUUCAGGCAAUCCAGACCUUCUUUGCAAUCAUGAGUAUUUUAACUCAUGAGUAUUUAAUUCCUUAAAAAUACAAACUCCCCAAAACCCAGGUCAGCUCUAAACCUAGGGAUGAGCAUUUACUUGGGGACAGCACGCACAUUUUGUUAAGCACAGAAGCUUUCCAGCCCUGCUUUGACCAGCUCCCUGAUCAGAGAUCCUGCCAUCCUCUUUUCUUACUUCCUGCAGGGUGACACUCCCAUCCCAUUUUAACUGCCAACAUCAAACGUAUUCAUCCAUGCAAUGGCAUGGAUGAAGGACCUCGGUGGCCAAGAGCACUGCAUGAAGAACCAUGCAUCCCCAUCUUAAGAGGGUAGCAGUUCCUAAAGGUGACCCUAAAUUAUUUUGAGUGAAUGCAAAUGCUCCUUUUCUUCCCCAUAGCAUUGGGGUGGCAGGUGGAUGCUGACUUGGAGUAAAAUGCUGGCUGUUGGAGGUGGUCAUAAUUCACCAAGUAGAGACCGGAUGAUCACAGGCCCCCAAAGAUUCUUUUUCAAGAAGGCCACAUAAAGUCUUGCAUUUCUCAUUCUUUCCUCCCAAGUUCGUGAGUUUUCACUACAGCUGUGGGACUGGGGGACACUGGGAAAGGACUUUCACCAACCAUGAACAAGAAGAAGGGGUUGAGGUAAAGUUGGGUGAUUUCAGUCUGGAGUUCUCUUUGGCUCCUAAGUGCCACAUAUCAGUCCGAGGGUUUGCCAUAGAAGUGAGGGGUAUAAUUUUGUUUCAGCACCAAAUCAGCAUGGUUUGUGUGAGUUUUAAGUAACAACUGGUCAGAGGAGUAACAACAAAUGGUCAUGGACAUCAAUGAUAUGGUUAGAAAGUUCAAGCAGAAAUUUUAAAAAGGGUGCCUGAAUCUUUAUUCACUACAAAAUAAAUGGACCUCUGGGCCUCUCAUUAGGCGACUUGGGUGGUGUCCAGUUCUCCCUGGAGGUAAUUAAGCUUUUAACCUUCUUUUCUUUUGUAAGGGUCGGGGGAUCUUGUGAGAAUACUGGAGGAACUCUAGACCUGCAUUGUCCAAUUGGCAGCCACUAGCCACAUGUGACUAUCCAAAUUGAGAGGUGCUGUGAGUGUAAAAGACACAAUGGAUUUAGAAGACUUAGUACACAAAAGCAUGUAAAACAUGUCAUUAAUUUACAUUAGUGACAUGUUGAAACAAUAUUAGGUUAAAGUACAUGAUUAAAAUUAUCUUUACCUGUUUCUUUUUACACUUUAAAAUGUGGCUAGUAGAAAAUUUAAAAUUAUGUCUGUGACUUGCAUUACGUUUCUGUUGGACAGUGCUAGUCUAGACUCUUGCUAUAGAAAAAUGCACAUCUGCAAAUACACAUACAGUCUGCAUUUGCUUCUAGAGGGUACACACACCCUCUGACACUCAUCUGUAGACUACCAGGUCUCCAGGUCAGUCUCUUCUUUGGGGGAGGUAAAGAAGGCUAUAAGGAAGGGCUGUUCCCCUUUCUUCUGAAAGAGAAACUUUCUGGUUAAGCUUUUUUUUUUUCUUUUUUUUUUUUUUUUUAAACUAUCAAAGCUACAGGAAAAUCCUCCAGAAACAAACUUUGGUAAGUAGUGAAUGGCAAAGGCUCAGGGGGU